ACAGGUUGUUUCGGUAGUGAACAAACUAAUGUGGGCAGCCUGCAUUAGCACAUGUGGGUCUUUUCUGUCAUUAGCUUUCAUUGUUGUGGGAAAAGACUCUCUUGGAUGGCUAUUACUAUAACGGUUUUGGGUACACCAAUCCUUGUUGGGACUCUUGCUAGCAUGUGUUACUUUGUUUUCCGUCAACAUUUUAGAAAAUUUGGUGAUGAUUUUCAAUAGCAGUAGCUUUGAUGCUACUAUUUUGAGUCUUAACCAUCAGAGAAUGCAGUUUUGGUUUUA